rnacentral:rRNA from 1 species
CUACGGGAGGCAGCAGUAAGGAAUAUUGCGCAAUGGACGAAAGUCUGACGCAGCAACGCCGCGUGCAGGAUGAAGGCCCUUUGGGUUGUAAACUGCUGUAGAAAGGGAAUAAUAGUUUGCCACGGGUGAACUUGAAGGUACCUUUAAAGUAAGCGCCGGCUAACUACGUGCCAGCAGCCGCGGUAAUACGUAGGGCGCAAGCGUUGUCCGGAUUCACUGGGUGUAAAGGGUGCGCAGGCGGAUUGGCAAGUCAGAAGUGAAAUCUUACGGCUCAACCGUGAAACUGCUUUUGAUACUGCUUAUCUUGAGUUCGGGAGAGGUUGAUGGAAUUCCAGGUGUAGCGGUGAAAUGCGUAGAUAUCUGGAAGAACACCAGUGGCGAAGGCGGUCAACUGGCCCGCAACUGACGCUCAUGCACGAAAGCGUGGGGAUCAAACAGGAUUAGAAACCCUUGUAGUCC